rnacentral:rRNA from 1 species
UGGGGAAUAUUGCACAAUGGGCGCAAGCCUGAUGCAGCAACGCCGUGUGAGUGAUGAAGGUCUUCGGAUUGUAAAACUCUGUCCUAGGGGAAGAAAAAAAUGACGGUACCCUAGGAGGAAGCCCCGGCUAACUACGUGCCAGCAGCCGCGGUAAUACGUAGGGGGCAAGCGUUAUCCGGAAUCACUGGGCGUAAAGGGUGCGUAGGCGGCCUAGCAAGUCAGAGGUGAAAGGCAUUGGCUCAACCAAUGUAAGCCUUUGAAACUGUUAGGCUUGAGUGCAGGAGAGGUAAGUGGAAUUCCUAGUGUAGAGGUGAAAUUCGUAGAUAUUAGGAGGAACACCAGUGGCGAAGGCGACUUACUGGACUGUAACUGACGCUGAGGCACG